UUUCCGUAGGUGAACCUGCGGAAGGAUCAUUAUUGUAUAACCGAGGUGCGAGGGCCGUCGCUGACCCGAAAGGUCGUGCACGCCCGUGUGCCCUCACACACAUCCAUCUCACCCCUAUGUGCACCACCGCGUGGGUCCCCCUUUGGCUUGUUCGGAGGGGGGCUUACGUUUUCACACAAACUUUGUAUGCAGUGUAGAAUGUAUUUUUUGUUUUUGCGAUCACGCAAUCAAUACAACUUUCAACAACGGAUCUCUUGGCUCUC
rnacentral:misc_RNA from 1 species